CGUGUUUCUGCAUCAAGGUGAAGUCACUUGUGUUUCUCUCUCUCUGCAGCUGUUGACCUGCUGGUGAAUCAGAGCCCUGCCUGUGUCAAGGAAGAGGAAGGAAAAAAGCUGACCAUAGAAUGUAGAUUCAGGGCCCUGGAGAAACCCAGCACCAAGUACUCUGUUAAAUGGUAUAAAAAUGGGACCGAUGGAGACGAGAAGGAGCUGAAAAACGAAACGGGCUCAGUCACAACAACUCUAGAUUUCUCAACGGGCCUGGCGUCUCUGACCUUGACUAAAGCCAGCGUGAGUGAUUCUGGGUUCUACAGAUGUGACUUCGGUAAAAAUGGCCGUGGGAAUGGAACCAGAGUGACGAUCCAGGGAAGGUAUUGUUUUUCCACGGAUAUCAGAGCUCCAUAUUCAAACGUGAGGUCUAAUAUUUUUUUUAAGUAAAGAGUAUGAACAGGAAGGGACGGGGCCAGAGGGACACUGGCAGAUCUUCCCCUUUGUUCUGAGCUCUUGAUGCUGUAGGAAGCAAGGGGUCAGAAUUUCUUUUGAUCACGUGAGUCAGUAGCUGCGAGGACAAGCUUCCCUCUGCCCAAAAAUCAAAACAAAACUUAGAUCCACAACCAGAACCGGGAAGAAUUUCCAGCAUAGUGCAGUUUGUUUUGGAUGAUGGUGAGUAAAUUGGGUUGAAAUAGCAGGACCAGAGCAUUCGAGAACAUUUCAAUGAAUGUCCUACACCGGCAAGUCCUGCUUGCAAAUAGUGUCCUUCACAUCAGAUCCGUGAGCCAAAUCCUCAGCUGAUACCAAGGGAGUGAUGCUGCUGAUUUACACCAGCAAAGGCUCUGGAACUUCACAACUGGGAUAGGAAGAAACCCUGAAAGCAGCUGUCACGGAGAGUUUCUGAAAAUUACCCCACCCCAGGUACGAGGGCUGUAGCAAGAACUCCUCCCGAGCCUCUGAGUGUGGAAAAAAGAACCUAUUUUCUACGAAAGACCUGUAAUUCUAGCCAGACCGAAACACAAGGCACCCAAGAAUCUCCACGUGCUUCUUGAGUAAAGAGGAACCAAAAGCAAACAAAUAAGAACUAA
rnacentral:lncRNA from 1 species